rnacentral:rRNA from 1 species
GACGAACGCUGGCGGCGUGCCUAACACAUGCAAGUCGAACGGAAAGGCCCUGCUUUUGUGGGGUUCUCGAGUGGCGAACGGGUGAGUAACACGUGAGUAACCUGCCCUUGUCUUUGGGAUAACUUCAGGAAACUGGGGCUAAUACCGGACAGGAGCUCCUGCUGCAUGGUGGGGGUUGGAAAGUCUCGGCGGUUGGGGAUGGACUCGCGGCUUAUCAGCUUGUUGGUGGGGUAGUGGCUUACCAAGGCUUUGACGGGUAGCCGGCCUGGGAGGGGGACCGGCCACAAUGGGACUGAGAUAGGGACCAGAGUCGUACGGGAGACAGCAGUGGGGAAUAUUGCACAAUGGGCGGGAGUCGGAUGCGGAAGCGCUGCGUGCGGGAUGACGGUCUUCGGGUUGUAAACCGCUUUAGCCUGUGACGAAGCGUGAGUGACGGUAAUGGGUAAAGAAGCACCGGCUAACUACGUG